GGCCGCAAGGUUAAAACUCAAAUGAAUUGACGGGGCCCGCACAAGCGGUGGAGCAUGUGGUUUAAUUCGAUGCAACGCGAAGAACCUUACCUGGUCUUGACAUCCACAGAACUUUCCAGAGAUGGAUUGGUGCCUUCGGGAACUGUGAGACAGGUGCUGCAUGGCUGUCGUCAGCUCGUGUUGUGAAAUGUUGGGUUAAGUCCCGCAACGAGCGCAACCCUUAUCCUUUGUUGCCAGCGAUUAGGUCGGGAACUCA
rnacentral:rRNA from 1 species